AGCAGGCGCUCUCCUGGGUUGGACGGCAUCAAUGGCACUAUCUGCAAGGCAGUCUGGCGCGCCAUACCUGAGCACCUAGCAUCAUUGUUUUUCAGAAGCAUCCGAUUGGGAUACUUUCCAGCCGAGUGGAAGUGCCCACGAGUCGUCUCGCUGCUCAAAGGGCCAGAUAAGGACAAGUGUGGGCCUCCUCAUAUAGAGGAAUAUGCUUGCUACCAGUCUUUGGUAAGGUGCUCGAGGCCAUCAUGGUGAAUCGUGUGAGAGAAGUUCUUCCGGAAGGCUACAGAUGGCAAUUAGGAUUUCGCCAAGGACGAUGUGUGGAGGAUGCUUGGAGGCACGUGAAGAGCAGUGUUGGCGCCUGCCCGGCGCAAUACGUGCUCGGCACAUUCGUGGACUUCAAAGGAGCAUUCGACAACAUCGAAUGGAGUGCUGCACUCUGCCGACUAGCCGACUUGGGAUGCCGGGAAAUGGGCUUGUAGCAGAGCUUUUUCUCCGGCCGAAGAGCAGUGAUCCGAAGCAGUUCCGGUACUGUGGAUGUACCGGUAACUAGAGGCUGCCCGCAGGGAUCAAUCAGCGGCCCAUUUAUCUGGGACAUACUGAUGGAUGUACUGCUUCAGCGUCUCCAGCCGUAUUGCCAGCUGAGUGCAUACGCGGAUGACUUGCUGCUUCUCGUCGAGGGAAAUUCCCGAGCUGUGCUAGAGGAAAAAGGAGCGCAACUAAUGUCCAUCGUAGAAACGUGGGGAGCGGAAGUUGGCGUUGCCGUCUCGACCAGCAAGACGGUAAUCAUGCUGCUGAAAGGUGCCUUGAGACGUGCGCCUACGGUGAGGUUUGCUGGAGCGAACCUUCCGUAUAUGCGUAGCUGUCGGUACCUUGGCAUCCAUCGGUGAGGAAUGAAAUUCCUCACGCACAUACCUUCGCUUCGCCAGCGGAUGACCAUAGUCGUUGGAGCAUUGGCGCGUGUGCUUCGAGCCGAAUGGGGCUUCAGUCCUCGAGCCAGGCGGACCAUAUAUGACGGACUCAUGGCACCUUGUGUGCUGUUUGGUGCCCCGGUAUGGUAUGACACCGCGGAACAAGUAGCUUCCCAGAGGCGACUAGCCUCCUGCCAGAGGCUAAUCCUGCUUGGAUGCCUUUCGGUACGCCGAACAGUGUCCACAGUGGCACUGCAGGUACUUGGUGGAGCUCCCCCGCUUGAUCUGGCUGCGAAGUUAUUAGCGGUCAAAUACAAGCUAAAACGUGGAUUCCCGCUGGAGGAGAACGACUGGCUUUACGGCGAGGACAUUGCGUGUCUAAGCUGGGAGCAGAGGAAGACUCGCCUAGAGGAGUGUUUAAUCCAGAGUUGGCAGAACAGAUGGGACGACGACAGCGAACCAGGACGGGUGACGCAUAGGUUUAUCCCAAACGUCACUCUUGCCUAUCGGGAUUCAAGUUUUGGAUUCUCGAUGAGGACGUCUUUCCUGCUUACAGGGCACGGGUCGUUCAAUGCAUUUUUGCACGGGAGAGCCCUCAGCGAUACCACUGCUUGCGCAUGUGGAGAUCCAUAUGAGGACUGGAUGCACAUUUUGUGCGCUUGCCCCCAAUGUGCAGAUCUGCGGGCCCUAGAUGGACUUGGGAUGCAGCGCCUUGGCGAAAACUGGAUCUUCGAGAGAAUCCUGGAUGAUCAAGAGAAGACUCAACGGCUAGCAAUGUUCGCGGAGGAAGUGUUCCUAAGGAGGAGGGGCGUCAGUAGAGAUUUUAGGUAGAUCUCGCUCCUCAGCAAGGGGGAGUGCUUGCCCGGCAAGCAAGUACUCGAAUUGCCACCGGGGUGGUCGCUAUGUACAUAGCUAUAGAUUCUAGUCCGGGACGCUUGUCUGGCGUAUCCAGACACAUGCACCAUAUGCUCACUUGUGGAUGUAUAGGGUGCCGUGGUUGUUAUCCCUUCAGUGUGGAACAGGCCACGUAAAACAAGUUCGGAGGGAUCCGAAAAGCAUACAUUGUCCCUAUCUACUAUCUAGCGAAACCACAGCCAAGGGAACGGGCUUGGAAUAAUUAGCGGGGAAAGAAGACCCUUUUGAGCUUGACUCUAAUCUGGCAGUGUAAGGAGACAUAAGAGGUGUAGAAUAAGUGGGAGAUAUUAGACCUCGGUUUGGUAUCGUCAAUGAAAUACCACUACUCUUAUUGUUUCCUUACUUACUUGAUUAAGUGGAACGCGUAUCAUUUCCUAGCCAUUAUACGGAUAUAUUUAUUAUAUCUUAUGGUAUUGGGUUUUGAUGCAAGCUCUUGGUCAAUGUAUUACGAGUUAUAUAAUCGGAAACAAAUUCUUUAAUAAAACGAUGCAUUUAUGUAUUUUUGAUUUGAAAAUUUGGUAUAACUCCAAUUACUCAGGUAUGAUCCAAUUCAAGGACAUUGCCAGGUAGGGAGUUUGACUGGGGCGGUACAUCUCUCAAAUAAUAACGGAGGUGUCCCAAGGCCAGCUCAGUGCGGACAGAAACCACACAUAGAGCAAAAGGGCAAAUGCUGACUUGAUCUCGGUGUUCAGUACACACAGGGACAGCAAAAGCUCGGCCUAUCGAUCCUUUUGGUUUAAAGAGUUUUUAACAAGAGGUGUCAGAAAAGUUACCAUAGGGAUAACUGGCUUGUGGCGGCCAAGCGUUCAUAGCGACGUCGCUUUUUGAUCCUUCGAUGUCGGCUCUUCCUAUCCAUGUGGAGCAAAAUUCACCAAGCGUUGGAUGUUCACCCAGGGAACGUGAGCUAGGUUUAGACCGUCGUGAGACAGAUUAGUUUUACCCUACUAAUGACAAAACCUUGUUGCGACAGUAUUCCUGCGUAGUACGAGAGGAACCGCAGGUACGAACCAAUGGCACAAUACUUGUUCGAGCGAACAGUGGUAUGACGCUACGUCCGUUGGAUUAUGCCUGAACGCCUCUAAGGUCGUCUCCGUCCUGGACUGCAAUGAUAAAUAAGGGGCAAUUUGCAUUGUAUGCCUUCUAAACCAUUUAAAGUUUAUAAUUUACUUUAUAAACGACAAUGGAUGUGAUGCCAAUGUAAUUUGUAACAUAGUAAAUUGGGAGGAUCUUCGAUCACCUGAUGCCGCGCUAGUUACAUAUAAAAGCAUUAUUU
rnacentral:rRNA from 1 species